rnacentral:lncRNA from 1 species
UAAAUAAGGUACUGUAACCUGCUAUCCAAACUAAGUUUCAUUAAUCAAUUCAUAAACUAAACAAACAAUAACGUAAAAACAUAAACAUUACAAUAAGGUUUCUUAACCAACCAAUCUCAUUUGAUACAACACUUUGUACCCUUAGUCAACCUUUUAUCAACUAUCAAACAAGUCAAUCAUGCAAGAUCUGUUGUAGCCACAUCAAACAGAAGAAUGCAGUAAAAAUAAGGGAAUGAAGACAAAUAAUAUAAUAAGGCAGUAAAAGCCAAAGAACAAAAAAAAGAAAGAAUAUCUAUGGACAAUGCAUCAUGAAACAAAACUUACAGGUUUCGAGGAACAAUGUAAUCUUGUUACAAUGGCCUAUAUUUCAAUUUCAAAGUCUCACCAUAAUAACCCUUUCAAAUGCACCAGCUAGUAUAUCCUGUAAAGAAACAGGAAUUGCCUCUUGAUAUAGAAAAGAUGUAGAAAAAGGGUGUGAGUGCAACCGAGGUGUUGAGAGCAAGAACUUAUUAAAACAUCAUCAAUUACAAUAUAAGAAAGUUGAAGUACCUGGUAAAGACAACAAUAACCCUUCUCCAAAAUCUGCCACAUGUCCAAAUGAGGGGUAUUUGUUGUCCAAAAUUUUUGAAACUGAACUAAAGAAUUGUCUAACUGAGCCAUAUGGCUCACUAACUAAGCCAUAUUUGAGGGUUGUGAGACAAAAAGGAACUGAAUCAAUAGCCAUCGUUUGAAUUGAACCAAACCAAUUGAAAACCAAUCACCAACUUUAUGUCAAAUCAUGCAUUUUUUCAAACAAAGGACAAAAAUAGCUUUUUCCUUAAAACACUUUCCCUCUCUCUAUCAAACUUUCAUCAAAUUCCAAUGUUGACCAAAUUCAAAAUUCAAAAAUUUUCCCCCUCUUUCAUUUUUUCAAAAUUCUAUAUCAUCUUAUCACAUUUUUCAUUUCACAUUUCAUUCAUUUUCCUCUUCUUUCUCUGACUUUACAUUUCUGCAUUACUGCUCUCCAUUUUUUCCUAAUAUACAUUUUUGAACAAAUUUCAUCUUCAUCUUCUUUGUCUAAUCAGAUGAUUUUUUUUUUCUUUCAAGAAAUUUUAACAAUCAAACAGCAGCACAAAUAAAUAAAAUAUAAAGAAAUAAGAGGAAGAAAUUCAUUUUGGUAACUUUUCACUAUCUUCUCAUCUUAACUUCAACUUUCAAACCAUUAAACUUGGUUUUGCAGGAACAAUAUUGAUGUCUUUAUCUCUACAACAAACUACAAAGAAGGACAGGGGUAAGUAAAUAAUAAAAGUUUUAAUUUGAAUACUGAUUUUCUUUACCUUACUUUCCUUUUCAAAGGGUUCAUUAUGUUAAAAAAGAAAUUUUUAUUUGAAAAAAUAACUGGAAAAAUAUACUUGAUUAAAUUUGAGAAAUUGAAAAAACAAAUUUUUAUGAUUUUUUUCCUUGAACUUCAUUACAACCAAAUAAGUUCGUCUAACGGCAACAACAAAGCGGGUAUGUAAAUGAACCUCAUUUUUCUUCAUUCAUUCUUGGAACUCAGGUAUGUAGAUGAAACUCAGGUAUGAAAAUCAAACUCAGUUUCGUUAUCUUCCAUUUUUUUUUAACUUGAUUCUUUUUCAUUCUUUGUUAAAAUCUUUGUUCUAUGUUCUCUCAACUCAUGAAAAUAUUCUCUACUUUUAUUAUUCUAAAAAAAAGUCAUGUUUUACACAAUAAAACUAAAAACAAUUUGAUUUUAAACAUUCUUUAAGUAGACUAAAAAAUUUGUCUCAUUUAUGAAAGAUAAAAUCCAUAAUAUAAUCUUAUCUAAAUAAAUAAAUAAAUAAAAAAUAGAUUUAAACAUAAAAUAAAAAGAAAAUAUAUAAUGGAAAAAUCAUCAUUUUUCUAAUUUUAUUAGAUUGAUAAAAAAAAAAAGUAGAUAAGGAUAGAGAGAGAGAGAGAGAGAGAGAGAGAGAGGGAGAAAGAGACAUAUUGGCCACAUUGAUGUAGUAUAGGUGAUGUAAUGAACUUUUCAUUUUGUGGGUAAUAAUGAGUAUACUGCUGUAACUACUCUUUUUUAAUUUAAUAUUGUAUAUUUGAUGUGAUUAGUCAGGUAUGGUAAUAAUAAGACAAUGAAUUAUUUAUGCAAAAACUCCUGAAAAUAUUAAUUUUAUUUACUAAGGAAUGUGCAGAAGAAUAAUAGAUAAAAUAUUUAUUCUAUAAUUAUCUCAAAUGGAUUUAAAAAAAUUACUAAAAAGAAAAAAAUUUAGUUUUAAAAAAGAUCAAUUAAUAUUAAAUAAGAGGAAAGAAGAACAUAAAUCAUUAACAAGAAAAUAGAUCUUAUUUCAAAAACUUUUGUAGGAUUUAAAAUCUAAAAGGAAAAAUUCAUGGAUCUAAAAAAAUAAAGAAAAU